rnacentral:ribozyme from 12 species
CAUGAUCAACCCGGAUGAUCAGUGUAAGUCUCGAUACGUCCUUGGGUCUAAGUUGGAAUCUGAUAGGUUGAAUGGAACGGCGCGCACGGAAGAUGAAAAACAAGCCCUGAGAAUGAUGCAGCGUUACAGUAAAAAAGUCGCAGCUGAAUGCACCGUAGAAUAGAAGGGGGC